UGGCUCUGAAUGAUGAGUAACCAAUUACCAUCUUUCGGCUGA
rnacentral:snoRNA from 2 species